rnacentral:lncRNA from 1 species
CCCCCUCACCCAGCUGGAGGAGGCUAGGAGGAGACUGGAGGAGGAGAAGAAGAAGACGGGGACCUUACAGACCAAACAGAGACAUAAAGUGACGAAGAAGCCCGCGUGUGAGAACAUUACGGUGGCCUACUACUUCUGUGGGGAGCCCAUCCCGUACAGGACGUCGGUCAAAGGUCGCAUGGUCAUGCUGGGCCAGUUCAAAGAGCUGCUGACUAAGAAAGGAAGCUACAGGUACUUUUUCAAGAAGGUAAGCAAUGACUUUGGGGUGGUGUUCGAAGAGGUACGCGAAGAUGACGCCAUCUUGCCCAUCUUUGAGGAGAAGAUCAUUGGGAAAGUGGAAAAGAUUGAUUGACAUAGAGGUGGAGAGGAAGGAGACGCUCACAACGUCGGCCUGCGACGGAGCUAUCGGUGGAUGAGCUGUUCGCUUGAGAGAGACCGAGAGAAAGUGUUUGAUUAGAGGGAGGAUUGGCAGGGGAGAAAAGGUACGGAGUAAGUCGCUACAGGAGGGAAUGGAUGAGAGGAGGAGCGAAUGAGGAGAAGAGUGCAUAGUGGUCACUGUGGGAGACACUCAUGACUCCAAGGCUUUCAUAUCUGCUCAGUGCCACUGCAUUGUGCAGACAGAGUAGGAAAGCAUUGGACAAAAGAAAAAGCUGUCAUUCUCUCCUUCGGUGUCUUUCGGGGUGUAAUGUAAUGUACCAUUGUACAAUUUGAAUAGAAGAAAAAUGCUAUGAAUCUGCUUACUAAAGCAGCAUAUUAUUUUUGAUAUGAAGUAUCAGAAGGUAUCCUUUCUAAUGUAUCCAAGCUUGUCAUUUUUAUAUGUGUUGGUACCAGAUGUGUACAGAUUGUCUGUUUUAAAACAUAACGAUAAAGUUUUAUAUUAUCUAUUUAAAUAUUUGAAAAAGCGGUCGUUUUAAUCCUAUUAAAGCAGCGGCGCUGUUCCAAUUCGACGAGAUCCAAGUGUUUUGACAGGGCUGUUUUUCAAGUGUUUUAGGAACUAUUAUACAGCCCCAUGUUCUACCAAGUGCUUUUUACAGGACCACUCAACCUUGCCAGUCCUCUAAAGUUAAGUGGCAUUGAGUUGUCGUGCUGCACUUAUCACUGUAUUAGGCAUUAGUGUCAAUGGAGCAAAAUGAAAAAGGAAUGCCUUCUUGAGGUUGCCCUUAACUGAUUCUGCCUUCAUGUUUUGUGUUUUUCAAUUAGAAAGGGGCUCCCCAGCAGUAGCUCGAUCUGUGUACAAUGUACUGUACUCUGAGGUCUCUAAACUUUCCCCAUAGUGUACGUAUGUAUGCACAUUAAAUACAUGAUUAUACCCAUACCUGCGGACAUCUGCCAACUUAAAUUGAUCCCCACUAUGUUCAGUAACUUUAAUUUUGCUACAUUUAGGUCUUAACUGUAGCAGAUCAGGGCAGAAAAUAACAUCUUUGAUCAGAGAUCAUCACAACCAGUUGUGUACGUGCUACUGACAGUUCAGAUCCAGAUUCUAUUUACAGUCUAGAGCUUUUCUAGGCAUUUAAGACCAGAGUCCAUAGUAAAAGUCUCCUGAAGGUUCAUACACGGGUGUCUGUGUAGAGAAAGGGUCUGUGCGCGGAACUUUGUCACAAAGUAACUACCGCGUUCAAUAGAGCGUUGAUCAUCUAAUGUGUGUUCACAUGCAUUCGGAAAGGCUCCUGACCCCAUGGUUUCACUCUGGACAAUGAAAGGACAUAGUAUAUGUUUACCUAGUAAAUAUAUCACAAAUACAGCUGAAUAAUGACUUGUAGCCUUUCAUAGCUCUAUAGAGCUACAUUUGGUGCCUGGCAGAAAUUGUCUCUAGAAAUAACUUUAGUAUGAAAUGAUCUACUUUUUUGAUAGGUCACAAUACACCAAAGAGAACGGUAGAAGUUGAUAUAUAUUUCUCAUCCCCUUUUCUCUUCUUUAUUUACCCUCAUUCACAUGGGUACUCUUUGAUUAUUCUCCAAAUCCCUGUGUUGAAGUGGAAUUCUCUUGUACGAUGUUCUAGGGCAGGGCUCUCCAGCCCUGUCCCUGGAGAGCUACCCUCCAUGUAGGUUUCUGCUCCAACCCUGUCCCUGGAGAGCUACCCUCCAUGUAGGUUUCUGCUCCAACCCUGUCCCUGGAGAGCUACCCUCCAUGUAGGUUUCCACUCCAGCCCUGUCCCUGGAGAGCUACCCUCCAUGUAGGUUUCCACUCCAACCCUGUCCCUGGAGAGCUACCCUCCAUGUAGGUUUCCACUCCAACCCUGUCCCUGGAGAGCUACCCUCCAUGUAGGUUUCCACUCCAACCCUGUCCCUGGAGAGCUACCCUCCAUGUAGGUUUCUGCUCCAGCCCCAGCUGUAACUAACCUGAUUCAGCUCAUCAAUCAGCUAAUGACUACAAUUGUUUGCGCUAGAUUAGGGUUGGAGGGAACCUGCAGGAUGGUAGCUGUCCAGGAACGGCCUGUUCUAGGCCGUUGUGCUGGGGUCAGUGCAAGGUGGAAUGUGCUAAGCGUUGUGAUUAGGAUGGUAAGGACCUUUUUCAUCAGAGUGCUGUAUUGCUGGGUGUUGUUCUGUGUCAACAACACAUAUAAGAGGACAUCUCCUUUUCUGAGAUGCUUUUUUUGUAUUUAUUUAGAUGGAUAUUUUUCAAGAAUCUGUAUAAAGUUAACAUACGUAGUGGACAACCCUCUAUGGCUCCUGUUUAAAGGUUUGAAUAACCGUAUUUAAUGUUUUUAUAACGAGAGGUAUUUACUCCAUGAUCUUUGACAAUAUUGGUACUCAGCCAUCAUCUGUCACACUACAAUGUAGAAUUUGGCCCUCUGUUAUAAUUAUUAAUAGAUGUUCACUGUCUGUAUGUAUUACCAAUGGAGGGCAGUGAUUCUUACUGUGAAAGCCCCAAAGUGAACUUCCCCCCCCACUUAUGGUCAAUGAAAUGUACAUAACAGCCAUCACAGAGUGCCUUUUAUUGCCAUCCUCUCAUGUCAUCCGCUAUGUGAUUCUCACGUAUUACCAGGGCCUUGCUUUAUAUUUUUAUUUAGCGUCUUACAAAGGAUGUUCUGUUCAAGCGUUUCCUGUGUCACAUCUCACUUUGGAUAAAACUUUUCUAUGUAAAUAUGUAAAAAUUGUACAUGUCAUCAACCAGCAAUUCACUUAGGAGAUAUUCAAUACCCUGGACCUGUUUUCUUUGUGCUGAGUUGUGCGGUUAUCAUUUAAAGGUACUUGAACAAUAAAUACAUGUAAUAAACCUAAACUUCUGCAUUA